AUGUGAACCUCACUAGCUACAACCAGGCGGAGGAAAAACGACCCGUUACACGGACAGUCUCAGUGAGGCAUUCUGAUGGAAAUCUGUUUACCCGCCGAGGUUAAGGAUUAAUGUCGAGACUGCCGUGACAACUAUGCUGCUCGUGCCGGAUGUGACAGGUCUGGAGUAAUUGCAUUAAGAAUGACAAGAAAUCACUACAGACUUUAUUGAAGACUAGAGCGAAGAACAACUCUAUUAUUAUUUAUCUAUUUAUCUAUUUAUUACCAGUUAUAACUUUUAGAUUAUUUAAUUCUGUGUUUGUAUGCUCUGUGUAAAUUGUGUAUUUAUUUAAAGUAUCCUCCAGGCCACCCAAGAAGGAUGGGCCCUGCUGAGUCUGGUUCCUCUCAAGGUUUCUUCCUGUAAUUUUCAGGGAGUUUUUCCUUGCCACAGUCGCCCUCGGCUUCCUCAACAGGGGUUUUUUGUAUCUGUUGGUCCUAGAUUUUGUAAAGUUGCUUUGAGACAAUGUCUAUUGUAAAAAGCGCUAUAUAAAUAAAGUUGACUUGACUUGA